rnacentral:rRNA from 1 species
GCCAGCAGCCAUAUAACCCUGCAACUCACAGCUGGCAGCCCACUGAAGCUAAGCAGGUGUGAGCCUGGUCAGUAGCUGGAUGAGAGACAUCCUGGGAAAAUCUAAGGUUGCUGCUGGAA